CCACAAGGCUCUGUACUAGGUCCAAAAUUAUUAUUUAUAUAAAAGAUAUUUGGAAGGUAUCUGAUAUAUUACAAUUAGUAUUAUUUGCAGGUGACACAAAUACUGGGGGGUUUCUAAAGGAGAUGCUGGAUACGUUCACUUCAGAAAUGUGCAAAAUUAAAAAAUGGUUUUUAACUAUCGCUAAAUCUAAGUAAAACUAAAAUCGUUUAGUUUUAGUUGGGAACUCCCAAAGAAACUCAUAAGUGCAGAUGACAAUAGAUGAUAAAAUAAGCUGGACGUCUCAUGUAAACAAAAUUUCAAGAAGUAUUUCAAUUUUGAGUAAAGUAAAACACAUUCUGGACCACAAUUCACUCCACAUUCUCUAAUGUUCACUGAUUUCACUGUAUUUGCAUUACUAUGCAGAGGUUUGGGGCAAUACUUAGAAAUGUUUGCUAUCAUCAGUCUUCAUACUGCAAAACAGGGCCAUAAGGAUAAACCAUAAAACUGGUUACAGAGAUCAUACAAAUCCACUAUUCUUAAAAUCAAAAAUACUAAAAUUCACAACUCUGGUUCAUUUUCUCACUGUGCAAAUUAUAUAUAAAGCAAUAAACAACCUACUUCCUGACAAUAUUCUUAAAUUGUUUUCUAAAAGGGAACGGGGAAACAAUUUGAGGGGAGAAUUAAAGUUAAAACAUCCCUGUAUCUGUACAACAGUAAAAAGUUUUUGCAUCUCUGUUUAUGGAGUGAAGUAACUAUAUGCUUUAUUAAAAAAACAAAAAAAACAAACAUCUUAACCCUAAUUUUAACAGUAGAGAGGGCGUCUGUCUCCAGAAUCCAAACUGGGAGCUGGUUCCACAGAAGAGGGGCCUGAAAACUGAAGGCUCUGCCUCCCAUUCUACAUUUAAAUACCUGAGGAACCAAAAGUGUGCCAGGAGGCUGAGAGUGAAGAGCUUUACUGGGGUUUAAAAACCAGGUCUCCUGUCCUCAUUGCCAUAGCCGUGUGUCUGACACGAUAGUAUCAGAGACACGAUAGUAUCAGAGACACCUGGUCUCACUGACAUCAAGCAGAGCCCUGAGUAGAAACAACAGUCUUAGGCCUUGAACUUUCAAGAUUUUUCAUCAAUAAGAC
ensembl:lncRNA